UACAGAGGUGGCAAGCGUUGUUCGGAAUUACUGGGCGUAAAGGGCGCGUAGGCGGUUCGUUAAGUCCUGUGUGAAAUCCCCCGGCUUAACCUGGGAACUGCGUCUGAUACUGGAAGGCUUGAGUAUGGGAGAGGGAUGUAGAAUUCCAGGUGUAGCGGUGAAAUGCGUAGAUAUCUGGAGGAAUACCGGUGGCGAAGGCGGCAUCCUGGACCAUUACUGACGCUGAGGCGCGAAAGCUAGGGGAGCAAACGGG
rnacentral:rRNA from 1 species